rnacentral:rRNA from 1 species
AAACCAACAGGGAUUGCCUCAGUAACGGCGAGUGAAGCGGCAACAGCUCAAAUUUGAAAUCUGGAGCCUUCGGCUUCCGAGUUGUAAUUUGAAGAGGAUGUUUCGGUUGUGGCCUGGGCCUAAGUUCCUUGGAACAGGACGUCAUGGAGGGUGAGAAUCCCGUACAUGGCUGCCGGCUUGCGAUCAUGUGAAACUCCUUCGAAGAGUCGAGUUGUUUGGGAAUGCAGCUCAAAAUGGGUGGUAAAUUUCAUCUAAAGCUAAAUAUUGGCGGGAGACCGAUAGCGCACAAGUAGAGUGAUCGAAAGAUGAAAAGCACUUUGAAAAGAGAGUUAAACAGUACGUGAAAUUGUUGAAAGGGAAGCGCUUGCAAUCAGACUCGCUUGCGGUUGAUCAACGUUCCUCCUGGUGCGUGCACUCUGCCGUUGGCGGGCCAGCAUCGGUUGGGGCGGCGGGACAAAGGCGGCAGGAAUGUGGCUCCUCCGGGAGUGUUAUAGCCUGCCGUGUAAUGCCGCCAGUCCCGACCGAGGUCCGCGGUUUUCCUAGGAUGCUGGCUUAAUGGUUGU